CGCGUCACUCACCAAUGGCAGAACAGGUGACGCUAGGAAUGGUCUACACAGUCAAAUACACCAAGCAAAUUAAGACGGCUGCAGUGAAGAAAUCUAACAGGGAAAAGAUGACUCAAGACAGUCAUACAAGAACUGCAUUUAUAUCGGUGUGGUCUUCAAUCUGUUGGAAAAACCUACAAGUUUUGAAGGGGUUGAAAAGCGAUGCACGGCUAGCUGUACUGCUCCUGGACAGGCAGGAAUAUGCACAUCCAAAGACGCCUGUCCAUGAGAGAGUCUGCUCUGCUGCUCCAGGACCUGACGUGGACCCCCAGGAACAGCUGAGUGGUGUAACGUUACAGUGAACAAGAAUGCAGCGAGCACAAGGGCUUACUGUUCUCCAUGCUACAGUUUGUAUAGAUGCAGGCCUUCUACACAUGUGUGUUAGACUUUAAUGACGCUGUGUGCUCUGUCUUUUUUACACAUUUAUCAGGGUCACAGGGCCAAACACAUCCAUAUACGGUUUUCAUCAUUGCUUUUGUGGUGACAUUCCCCGACUCAAACUGGUUUUAUCUUCAGGUUUAAUGCCAGUGUGUGCUGGCAUGAUCCCCCCCCCCCCCAAAUCCUUAACCUUGCAGAGUCUGAGGGGAGCAUUUAUCAGACAUUAUUAGACAAGAUGACUCUUAGCAGCCUCCUCCUGUAAGCUACAGGAGGAGGCUUGUCCUCUGCUGACACUUGAUACACAAUGAGCCCAUUCCUUCAAUAACACACUGUCCCUAAAAGCCCUGGUUAAAUAGUGCACAUGCUCAGUGGGAAAAAAUUACAACUACAAAUCUAUUCAAAGACCUCUGGUCCCUUACAUAAGAUUGUUUUUGUAGAAUCUGCCUCAGUCUGUGCAGCCAGUCUAAAAAACAAAUGCGCAGGGAUAAAGCAGUGACUUGUUAAAUUUACAACAUAAAACAAAGUAUUGGACAAAUUGAAAUGGCCUGACGAUGGCGCUUGUUGUAAAAAGGUUAAUGAAUCACUAAAGUUAUCACAGUUCAUCCUGACAGGGGACACGAUUGUUAGUGCCAAAUUUCAUCACAGUCUGUCCAAUAGUUGUUUACACAUUUCACCCAAGGCCAGAAAAAAAGGAAAAGUUUGAAGAACAGCAAAUUCAUUAGAAUUCAUGGUCUGAUAACCAUUAAUCUCUGUAUGCAAACUUUUCAUCCCAUUCUGAAUAGAUGUAGAGAUAGUUCACCAGAUAAAAUGUGACCUGCUGGUAGUUGUAAAGGAAAAGAUGAUGCACUUAGGACAUGAUUAAGAUUCCUCGUCUGGGCACCUUGAAUGUCUGUAAAAAAAAAAUGACAUGGCCGGUUUUAAGAUAUUUCAGUUUGGAUCACCUCGACUGACCAACCUCGCCAUCCACAGAGCCAUGCUGCUAGCGUGGCUAAUAAAAAGAAGCCGUCUUCAACUGGUGUGUCUUUACUGGCCCUCUCUGAUGACUCCAUUCCUAUGAGGUAACACUAAUCCGUAGCUCCAGGGAUUGUAAAAGACGGGAUUUCAGAUGAUAUAUACUUGAAAUCCAACCUGAACCUCCAGAAUCUGAGUUUUAUUGUUGGUUUUGAUCAUUUUAUUGGAGCACGCUAUCUCCAGGACUGCUAAGCUAUUGCCUUGAGAACCUUUUAGUCUUUGAGUUUUCUGUUUUCAUCACUUUGUUUGGGGUUUGAUGGGGCAUGCAUGGGGCUAACUGGGCUGGGUGAGAGGUCAGGGGAGGGUCAGGGGGCUAUGCUACUGUGAGGGUCUGCUUUAAGAAUUUCUGAGGUGAGAGGCAUUCCUGGUGGGUGUCUGGCUUUAUGUGGGGUUCGGGCUAGUUUUGGAUUGGUACGGAGACCGGGGGGGGGAUAAGACUGCUGCAGAGCAUUUUUACCGAUUUUGUAUCCCCCUCUCUCUGUCUGUUUUCUCCCAGACUCAUGGUGUUUCUCCACGUCUCCCCUCUCUCUGUUUUCCUCUGCUGCUGUCUGUACCUGAGGCCAGACUGACAGCAGAGCCCAGCAGGAGAGGAGGGUCUUGGGUGUUUGACUGACAGACCAGUGACGAGUGCACAGAGAGAGGGUGAAGGGUGAAGGUCGGAGGUCAGGCUCCCAUGGAGAGGAGGAGAGCAGAUCUGGGAAAACAGAGGAGGGGGGGGGACUUGCUAACGAGAUGUAAAUGCAGAGAGACGUAAAUGCAAACAAUUAUUGGAUGUAAUGAAAUAAUAUAAAUAAUAGCAUCAAGCUAAAGAAGGUUAUAUGAACCUAAACAGCAACUUUAACACCAGUACAAACGUAUAAAUAAUUAUCCAAAAGACAUAAAUACCAGAGAAGAGCGUGAAUCUCCAUUCUUGACAUUUGUAAUUGUCGUUACUUAACUCCACUUGCAUCCGCUUCACUGUCAUCACAUCACCUAAUCUAAAAUUUUAACGUGACUUAAACUUCAAUUACUGACAUGAAACAUGAAUGUUUGGACAUGAACAUUAUGAGUUUAGAGUAUGCAAUAAAUAUACAGUACAUGCAAUGAUAAUGUGCCUUGUUAUCCUGAUUGUUGCUGUCAUUAUCACCAGUCCUGAGCCCAGUAAAGCAACAAUACUCCAGAUCCAGCACUGCUGCCAAAUCUGUCUGUAGUUAACUGAAAUCUCUUUAACCUUCUUGUAUUUUAACUCUUUGUAACAUGUCGUAUUUGUAUUCUUGAUCACUUUAUCUUACUAUGUUAAUCCCAGGAACAUUGCACAUGUAUAUAUCUCAGAUUUUGUACACAUUGCACAUUUAUCUUUUUCUGUAUGAGGGUAUAUUCUGUAUGUUAAUCUCAGGAACAUUCACAUGUAUAUAUUCUCAGGAACUUCUGCAUAUUUCACAUGUAUAUAUUGCAGAUUUAUUAACACAAAGAUCCAGUUAACUGUGUAUAGUAUUUUAUUUAUUUUAUCCUAUUUUGUCUUAUUUAUUGUUGAUUCUGUUUUAAGGAAACGUUCACCCUUACACUGCUACUUUAUCCCCACUACUGCUGUGUCAAUUUUAAUUUUUACCCAAAGGGAUCAAUAAACAUGCAUCUUAUCUUAUGUUUUGUCUGUGUGGAUGAACUGUAUAUAAAGUGGUCCUCAAAAAGCUCCUCAAUUUGUGAGACCCUGAAUGAUAAAUCCCACUAAAAAAUA